UCGGUAGUUCAGUUGGUUAGAAUACCUGCCUGUCACGCAGGGGGUCGCGGGUUCGAGUCCCGUCCGG
rnacentral:tRNA from 1 species